rnacentral:lncRNA from 1 species
CACUCCGGGCAACUGCGACAGUCGUCUUCCACGGCCCUCCUUAUCCCGGACCAGUGGAACCGGUGGCGAUCCGUUCCCGGGUCUUCUCCAUUCCCAGGUGCGCCCCCAACAGGUGGACCAGCUGAAGAACGGUUCCCACGUACCGUCGGGGUAGCAACAAUAUCUCUUGAAGUUCCCCCUGUUGGUGCGACACCUGACACAAAAGGUUAUUCUUGAUUUGGAAAUAGGGGUAUCGCCAGUCACUCACCCCCGGAAGUAGCUGUCCAUCCACCGUUAUCACUUGGGCUGCAGCGGCUUUGAAGUUAGGAUCCUCCCACUGGACCGUCCCGAAUUGUCCCCUCAGUUGGCCCCCAGACUGGCCCCUCGAAAUCGAGGAGGGGGAGGCUGGGCUCUUCCUCCCGUGGUUCCCCAGUGGGGUCAGGUUCCAGCACCCCCUCCGACUCCAGCUCCGGACCCGUAGAUACAGGUUGGUCAACCGUUUGCUUCCGGGCCGCACAGGCGAUGGGUCAUCCUCGCUCUUGUCUUCGGCCAGCUCGUACCUUCUUCCUCAGCUCGUGCCCCCACAGGGCCGCAAACAGCGGACAAUCUCAUCCCACUAGGAGAGGUACCGGCAACUCUGGUACUGCACCCACCAUCAUCUGGCAGCUCCUUUGGGGCGUCACAAUGUUGGCCCGUAUGGUUGGAUACCGCUUUGUGUCCCCAUGAACACAGGAAAUUGACAUCUCCCUACCACGUUCGGUCUCCUGGUUCAGCAGGCACAUGGUUACGAGGGUAACCAUACUUCCGGAGUCCAAUAGAGCUUCCGUGUCGUGCCCUUCUGCCCUUCUGGCAGCUUUAUGGGCCUUGCACAGCUGGUGAGCAAUCAGCCCUUGAUUACUCACCAACUCCCAAUCAGCCCCAAUUAGUCCUGGACGGAGAGCCCGUCGAGAUCUGGCAUGUCCAGCCAAUGGAGCCAUCGCCUCGUGACGUACACUCUGUCUGUCACCAGGCCUCGACGAGUCUCCCCCUGGUGGCUGACCUGCUGUACGCCACAAUGAAUACAACAGUAUAUAUAGCAUGUUAACAUAGAGAUAUAUAUAUAUAAACUAUACAACAGUAUAUAUAGCAUGUUAACAUGGGAAUAUAUAUCAUCUAUAAAUGAAUAUAACAGUCUAUAUGGGUCCAGUGUUGGUUUCUUGAGGAUGGAAGCGACUCGGGCCAUCUUGAAGUCAGUUGUCAGGGAUGAGUUGGUGAGGGAAGUGAGGAAUGGGAGAAGGUCUCCAGAGAUGAGUUGAUGAAGGAAGUGAGAAGGUCUCCAGAGAUGGUGUGGAGAAGUGAGGAGGGAAUGGGGUUGAGUUGAUGAGGGAAGUUAGGAAGGGGAGGUCUCCAGAGAUGGUCUAGAGAAGGGAGGAGGGGUUGAGUGGGCAGGUUGUCGGGCGGACGGACAUCACUAAUCGCAGGAUUUUAUCUGGAGUGAGAGGGGAGAAAGAGGUCAAGGCGUAUGGUAGUUAUGGAGAGAGAGGGGAGAAUGAGGUCAAGGCGUAUGGUAGUUAUGGAGAGAGAUGGGAGAAAGAGGUCAAGGCGUAUGGUAGUUAUGGAGAGAGAGGGGAGAAAGAGGUCAAGGCGUAUGGUAGUUAUGGAGAGAGAGGGGAGAAAGAGGUCAAGGCGUAUGGUAGUUAUGGAGAGAGAGGGGAGAAAGAGGUCAAGGCGUAUGGUAGUUAUGGAGAGAGAGGGGAGAAAGAGGUCAAGGCGUAUGGUAGUUAUGGAGAGAGAUGGGAGAAAGAGGUCAAGGCGUAUGGUAGUUAUGGAGAGAGAGGGGAGAAAGAGGUCAAGGCGUAUGGUAGUUAUGGAGAGAGAGGGGAGAAAGAGGUCAAGGUGUAUGGUAGUUAUGGAGAGAGAUGGGAUAAAGAGGUCAAGGUGUAUGGUAGUUAUGGAGAGAGAGGGGAGAAAGAGGUCAAGGUGUAUGGUAGUUAUGGAGAGAGAGGGGAGAACGAGGUCAAGGUGUA